CGGACCUCAGAUCAGACAAGACCACC
rnacentral:rRNA from 1 species